UGGGGAAUAUUGGACAAUGGGCGCAAGCCUGAUCCAGCCAUGCCGCGUGAGUGAUGAAGGCCCUAGGGUUGUAAAGCUCUUUCACCGGUGAAGAUAAUGACGGUAACCGGAGAAGAAGCCCCGGCUAACUUCGUGCCAGCAGCCGCGGUAAUACGAAGGGGGCUAGCGUUGUUCGGAUUUACUGGGCGUAAAGCGCACGUAGGCGGACUAUUAAGUCAGGGGUGAAAUCCCGGGGCUCAACCCCGGAACUGCCUUUGAUACUGGUAGUCUUGAGUUCGAGAGAGGUGAGUGGAAUUCCGAGUGUAGAGGUGAGAUUCGUAGAUAUUCGGAGGAACACCAGUGGCGAAGGCGGCUCACUGGCUCGAUACUGACGCUGAGGUGCGAAAGCGUGGGGAGCAAACAGG
rnacentral:rRNA from 1 species